AUGCACUCGUUAAUCCGGUCACGUCUCUUUUUCUCGAUGAGCCGGUGCGGCAGUUUGUAGGUCUCCUGCGAGGCGCACGGGGGGCGAAUGUGGGGCACGUGCUGGGAGAAGACGCUGCUAAGAUUCUGUAUGCCUUGAUACGCACAUCUCCAGGCCAAAAAACACGAGACCGUGAAUCUGUGCAAAUGAUCGCUGUCCUCGUGCACUUUCUGUUGCUGGACGAAAUACCUGAGGUCGUACUCUUUCGUGUGUUUUCCUCUGAAGAUGUCAGGUACCAGUGGAAAUCUCGAAGUCUCUCGGUGGUAGGUGGAGAGGGACAAUGAGGAACCAAGAGGUGAAGUCCUGGAGUCAUUUUGCUGCACCCCAAAGCAGGAUCUCGAAGUACAAAUUCAAGGAUCGGAAGCCUGAUUUGCCACCAAAGCACGUCAGUAGAGACUUCUAGAUUUCGAACCCCAAGCUGCAUUUAUUUGGCAUACGGAUGUGCAGGUUAACUUGAUGAAAUUUUCCUCUGUCGGUCCUGUCUUCUUUCCACUGCAUCAGAUCUAGUGUAGGCUCAGAAUUGGCUUUUAGUUGUCUUGCCCUCCCAAAGCUUUCAUCUCCAAAAAUGGGGAUUAUAAUACAGCCGUGUGCCACCAGCCGUGGGGACACGUUCCGGGAAAUGCGUGUUUAGGUGAUUUCUUGAUUGUGCGACCAUCAUCCAGUGCCGUUCCAGACACCUGAUGGCACAGCCUGCUACACACACAGGAACAGCGUCAGCAGCCUGUAGAACAUGUUACCGUACUGAGUACUGAAGGCAGGUUAGCACAGUGGCAGGUGUUUGUGCUCCAAAAUAUGGCGAAAUCUAGGAAGGGCAUAGACGGAAUGCUAGGUGGUAGGGACAUCAGGGCGGCAGUAACCUCGUGGGACUGCCGUGGUGCAUGCUGUCCACUGCUGACCAGAAUGUCACGUGGCACACGCUCGUCCCGAGACACGCGGUACGGAGUUGCUUUGAGGAAGACAGGAGGAGACGUGAAGGCCUUCCUGGCUGCCCUGGCACUUCCGUAGUUAAGUGUUCGGUAGAUGCUAACCGCUGUUAUCAUUCUGAUCAGCACAUAAAGGAAAGAAAGAGACAGUGUCAGAGCCCCUGACUCAGGCAGGUUUCCAGAAUGCAAAGGAGUUUGCUUUGAAAAAGAGAAAGCAAGACUCGUCUGAAAAGCUUAGAGCCGAAAUCCCGCCCAGCUCCUCUGUCACUUCGUAUCUGUAUGCUGCGUGCCUGCCUAUUUACCACCUAUCUAUCACUGUCUGUCUUCUAUCUUAUUAUCUGUUGCCUUCUCCAUUAUCCAGGAAUACACUUUCUACCCAGCCACUGACCCACUGACCCAUGGCCAAUCCACCAGGAUGACACAGAGAAAAAGAAACAUCGAAGUGCAGUCCAGCGACCGCUUAAGAAAUUGUCUGGAUUUGCUGACCCUUUCGGGAAUGGGCAACCUGUGUUCUGCUUUCAUAGCACACUCGUGGGCCCUACCAACUUGUCAGCUUAAAAAUCACCCUGUUAUAGAUUUUGAGUUCCACCUGUGGCUGCCUGGGCAAAGCUGCACCGAAUGAUUCCACAGGCCAUACAGAGCUGUCAGCGUGCCCCGGGCUGGACGUUCCCCACCUGUGCUACUAAAUAAACAACGAUUUCCUGUGACUCGACCUGAUUAACCCUGAAUUCAGUUACAUCCAUGCUGAGAAUUCCAAGUCAAAGCAGACAAUAUCUUUUUUUCUCACCCACUUUCAAAACAUGCAGCAAACAUACAGCAAAGAAUAAAACGAAUAGGAAAUCGCGAUUCACCAGGGUUGUUGGUAGUUUAGAAAAUGUAAUUAAUUCAAUACAAUUGCGGUGUGCUUCCUUUUCUGUUUUCGAAAGCCGUUUUAGGUAUAGGAAAUGGUGUUUUCCAACUGUAAAAUAUAAGUGAGUAUCAAAAGGUGUAAUUUUCAAACCAUGGUUAGUCCUAGGAGGAAAGCAUGCUGUCUCUUAAUGAGGCAAGGAUAUUUUAAAAGUUUACCAUAACAUCAGGUUUACUUUUAUAGAA